rnacentral:rRNA from 1 species
CCCUUAGAUGUUCUGGGCUGCACGCGCGCUACACUGAUACUUUCAGCGAGUCCACCACCUUGCCUGGGAGGGUGGGGUAACCUCUGGAAAGUGCAUCGUGAUGGGGAUCGAUUAUUGUAAUUAUUAAUCUUCAACGAGGAAUUCCUAGUAAGCAUGUGUCAUCAGCCCGUGCUGAUUACGUCCCUGCCCUUUGUACACACCGCCCGUCGCUACUACCGAUUGAACGUUUUAGUGAGGUACUCGGACUGAGCCUCAGAAGAUUCACGUCUUUUGUGCUGCUCGGGAAGAUUCCCAAACUUGAGCGUUUAGAGGAAGUAAAAGUCGUAACA